CUACAUUUGAUGACAACUUAGUUGGACUGUUGUUUUGAACAGAGUUACAGAAAUACAGGACCAGGAUUUAAUUCAAUAUCUCCUGAGAACAUUAGUUUCUUGUGAUAUUGUUAAUUGGCAAUAUAAUGCCUGCAGCCAGAGUUUUGAUUGUUUUAAUACAUGUGAAAUAUUACACAAUGAUUGUUUUUAUACUGUAUAAACGUAUAUAAUAAAAUAGGUGGUAUUUGGCUACUUACCAGAUGAGGAUAAGUUUCCAUGUUGAUAGAUAACUUCGGAAUAAUAUCACAAGUAGAAUGGUGAAGACAAGACAGCCAAUUCAAGAUAAAAUCAAGAUAUUUUUGAAGUCAAAAUAUGGCAAAGAGUAACACGACUUACACGAGGCCAAACUACGCCUGUUCGCAGGUUAGGUGCGAGGACGAUGUAAACAAUUGAUGUAAGCUAAUCGCUGAUUGGCUUAAUUAUAUAAGCUCUUCGCUGAAUGGCUAUGGGUAACGUUACUAGUAAUCUGCUUCGCAGAUACAAAAUAAAGAUAUACACAGGCACUGUAUUGAUAUAUGUUCAUACCUGCAAGUUUUUUUUAUUAUAAAAGUGUACUUUCCCAAUUUAGAUUGGGUGGGUGGGUCAUGAAAUAAAUUUGAUUGGGCUUUGAAAUUUUUAUCUACAUCCUAAGAUGGGUCACCAAACUUAUUGGCAAAAUUUGUGAUUUACCUCCAGCCCACCCUAGCAGUUACUUUAUGACCGGUCCCUUAGUCGAAAUGAUGCCACGAAUACAGCUAUUGAUAUUUUUUUCUUUAUACUUUAUUUACAAUGAAGUGUGAAGUAAAAAAAUAUUUCCGAGUUAUAGCGGAUGUUGUUUUUCGUUUUAGCGUUUCGUGUAACAUUGAUUGGCACUAUAACUCGUUUCAUAAUGUUUCAGCGAAUUUAUUUCUUCGUUC